AUUGAACGCUGGCGGCAUGCUUUACACAUGCAAGUCGAACGGUAACAGGCCGCAAGGUGCUGACGAGUGGCGCACGGGUGUGUAAUGCAUCGGAACGUGCCCAGUCGUGGGGGGUAACUUAUUGAAAGGGUAGCUAAUACCGCAUACGACCUAUUGGUGAAAACGGGGGGACGUAAGGCCUUGCGGGAUUGGAAGGGCCGAUGUCAGAUUAGGUAGUUGGUGGGGUAAAGGCUCACCAAGCCAACGAUCUGUAGCUGGUCUGAGAGGACGACCAGCCACACUGGGACUGAGACACGGCCCAGACUCCUACGGGAGGCAGCAGUGGGGAAUUUUGGACAAUGGGCGCAAGCCUGAUCCAGCAAUGCCGCGUGCAGGAAGAAGGCCUUCGGGUUGUAAACUGCUUUUGUACGGAACGAAACGGCUCUGGUUAAUACCCGGGGCUAAUGACGGUACCGUAAGAAUAAGCACCGGCUAACUACGUG
rnacentral:rRNA from 1 species